rnacentral:rRNA from 1 species
GAUGAACGCUAGCGGCGGGCUUAAUACAUGCAAGUCGAGGGGCAGCACGAUGUAGCAAUACAUUGGUGGCGACCGGCGGACGGGUGCGUAACACGUAUGCAACUUGCCCUAUACUGGGGGAUAGCCCGAAGAAAUUCGGAUUAAUACCCCAUAACAUCAGGAUAAGCAUUCGUCUUGGUUCAAAACCCCGGUGGUAUAGGAUGGGCAUGGGGUCGAUUAGCUAGUUGGGGAGGUAACGGCUCAACAAGGCGACGAGGGGUAGGGGGUCUGAGAGGAUGGUCCCGCACACUGGUACUGAGACACGGACCAGACUCCUACGGGAGGCAGCAGUGAGCAAUAUUGGUCAAUGGGCGGAAGCCUGAACCAGCCAUGCCGCGUGCAGGAAGACGGCCCUACGGGUUGUAAACUGCUUUUCCGGGGGAAGAAUAAGGCCGACGUGUCGGCCGAUGCCGGUACCCCGGGAAUAAGGAUCGGCUAACUCCGUGCCAGCAGCCGCAGUAACAC